GCUGGCGGCGCGCCUAACACAUGCAAGUCGAACGAGAAAGCAGGAGCAAUCUUGUGAGUAAAGUGGCGUACGGGUGAGUAACACGUGGAUUAUCUGCCUCUUUGUGGGGGAUAACCCUGGGAAACCGGGGCUAAUACCGCAUAAGCUCGAGAGAGGAAAGCAGCAAUGCGCAGAGAGAGGAGUCCGCGGCCGAUUAGCUAGUUGGUAGGGUAAAAGCCUACCAAGGCUACGAUCGGUAGCCGGCCUGAGAGGGCACACGGCCACACUGGCACUGAAACACGGGCCAGACUCCUACGGGAGGCAGCAGUGGGGAAUCUUGCACAAUGGGGGCAACCCUGAUGCAGCGACGCCGCGUGAGCGAUGAAGCCCUUCGGGGUGUAAAGCUCUUUCGGCAGGGAAGAUUAUGACGGUACCUGCAGAAGCAGCUGCGGCUAACUACGUGCCAGCAGCCGCGGUAAUACGUAGGCAGCAAGCGUUGUUCGGAGUUACUGGGCGUAAAGGGUGUGUAGGCGGUCCUCUAAGUUUGGUGUGAAAUCUCCCGGCUCAACUGGGAGGGUGCGCCGAAAAC
rnacentral:rRNA from 1 species